rnacentral:rRNA from 1 species
UUACCAGACUCCUACGGGAGGCAGCAGUGGGGAAUAUUGCACAAUGGGGGAAACCCUGAUGCAGCGACGCCGCGUGAGUGAAGAAGUAUUUCGGUAUGUAAAGCUCUAUCAGCAGGGAAGAAAAUGACGGUACCUGAGGAGGAAGCCCCGGCUAACUACGUGCCAGCAGCCGCGGUAAUACGUAGGGGGCAAGCGUUAUCCGGAUUUACUGGGUGUAAAGGGAGCGUAGACGGUAUGGCAAGUCUGAUGUGAAAACCCGGGGCUCAACCCCGGGACUGCAUUGGAAACUGCCGAACUAGAGUGUCGGAGAGGCAAGUGGAAUUCCUAGUGUAGCGGUGAAAUGCGUAGAUAUUAGGAGGAACACCAGUGGCGAAGGCGGCUUGCUGGACGAUGACCGACGUUGAGGCUCGAAAGCGCGGGGAGCAAACAGGAUUAGAUACCCGAGUA